rnacentral:rRNA from 1 species
CCUACGGGUGGCAGCAGUGGGGAAUAUUGCACAAUGGGGGAAACCCUGAUGCAGCGACGCCGCGUGAGUGAAGAAGUAAUUCGUUAUUUAAAGCUCUAUUAUCAGGGAUGAAAAUGACGGUACCUGAGUAAGACGCCCCGGCUAACUACGUGCCAGCAGCCGCGGUACUACGUAGGGGGCAAGCGUUAUCCGGAUUUACUGGGUGUAAUGGGAGUGUAGACGGUAGUGCAAGUCUGGGGUGAAAGCCGGAGGCUCAACACCCGGACUGCUAUUGAAACUGUACGGCUGGAGUGUAGGUGAGGUAAGUGGAAUGCCUGGUGUAGCGGUGAAAUGCGUAGAGAUUAGACAGAACACC